rnacentral:rRNA from 1 species
GACGAACGCUGGCGGCGUGCUUAACACAUGCAAGUCGAACGGAAAGACCCUGCUUUUGUGGGGUGCUCGAGUGGCGAACGGGUGAGUAACACGUGAGUAACCUGCCCUUGACUUUGGGAUAACUUCAGGAAACUGGGGCUAAUACCGGAUAGGAGAUACUGCUGCAUGGUGGGGGUUGGAAAGAGUCGGCGGUGGGGGCUGGACUCGCGGCUUAUCAGCUUGUUGGGGGGGUAGGGGCGUACAAAGGCUAUGACGGGUAGCCGGCGUGAGAGGGUGACCGGCGACAAUGGUCCUGAGGUACGCCCCAGACGCCUACCGGAGGCAGUGGGGGGGAAUCUUGCAGAAUGGGGGGGAGCCUGUGGCAGAAGUGCCCGGUGCGGGAUGCUGUGUUUCGGGGUGAAAACCGCUGUCGACGGUGACAUGGCCGGAGUGACGGUAACUGGUAAGAAAGCACCGGCUAACUACGUG